CCGCUUAACCUAGCGUCCUACGAGCACCCAACCCAUGUGACUUAUCUCUUUGUUGCCUCGGCGCAAGCUACCCGGGACCUCGCGCCCCGGGGGGCCCGCCGGCGGACAAACCAAACUCUGUUAUCUUCGUUGAUUAUCUGAGUGUCUUAUUUAAUAAGUCAAAACUUUCAACAACGGAUCUCUUGGUUCUGGCAUCGAUGAAGAACGCAGCGAAAUGCGAUAAGUAAUGUGAAUUGCAGAAUUCAGUGAAUCAUCGAAUCUUUGAACGCACAUUGCGCCCAUUAGUAUUCUAGUGGGCAUGCCUGUUCGAGCGUCAUUUCAACCCCUAAGCACAGCUUAUUGUUGGGACUCUACGGCUUCGUAGUUCCCCAAAGACAUUGGCGGAGUGGCAGCAGUCCUCUGAGCGUAGUAAUUCUUUAUCUCGCUUUUGUUAGGCGCUGCCCCCCCGGCCGUAAAACCCCCAAUUUUUUCUGGUUGACCUCGGAUCAGGUAGGAAUACCCGCUGAACUUAAGCAUAUCAAUAAGCGGAGGAA
rnacentral:rRNA from 1 species